UCUCUCACUAUUUUAACGAACUUUAUACCCCUCAAGUAUGAAAAAUAAAAAAUAUCCUUAUGUUUCUUAGUGAGGUUGAGAUCCCUAUUCCUCAUAAAUACCUUGUGAAUAGUACAACAAGUAUUCAUAAGUUCAAAAGUAGGUAACCCUUUACCAAUUGUAUCUCAUACAAUUUUCAAUAUUUUUUUAUCUUGCCUCU
rnacentral:lncRNA from 1 species